rnacentral:rRNA from 1 species
GACGAACGCUGGCGGCGUGCUUAACACAUGCAAGUCGAACGGAAAGGCCCUGCUUUUGUGGGGUGCUCGAGUGGCGAACGGGUGAGUAACACGUGAGUAACCUGCCCUUGACUUUGGGAUAACUUCAGGAAACUGGGGCUAAUACCGGAUAGGAGCUCCUGCUGCAUGGUGGGGGUUGGAAAGUUUCGGCGGUUGGGGAUGGACUCGCGGCUUAUCAGCUUGUUGGUGGGGUAGUGGCUUACCAAGGCUUUGACGGGUAGCCGGCCUGAGAGGGUGACCGGCCACAUUGGGACUACGAUACGGACCAGACUCCUACGGGAGGCAGCAGUGGGGAAUAUUGCACAAUGGGCGGAAGCCUGAUGCAGCAACGCCGCGUGCGGGAUGACGGCCUUCGGGUUGUAAACCGCUUUCGCCUGUGACGAAGCGUGAGUGACGGUAAUGGGUAAAGAAGCACCGGCUAACUACGUG